UGCUGUUUCACCUUGCCCAGGAACGUAGAACGAAAGAACGUGACCUGAGCUUGAAGAGGUGCAAAUUCUGCAGAAACUGCAUUUCAGAAUCACAAACCCAAGAGUCCAUUGGCCAGUUUAUUGCAAGAUGCUGCAGUAAAGGACAAGAGUAUGACUUUUCCAAAGAUGAAUUGUCACAGCUAGACAUCAAUCGAGUUGACAUCAAUCAUAGUCUUCAGGAAGGAAAUUUUGGUCUGAAGAAGGGGCCGUCCCAUUGACGUAUUACUGUCAUAUUGGAACAACUGGCCCAGGAAUGGAGUUAGACAACAAGACCAGCUGUGCUGCAGGGAAAGGGAGGUGGUACACAUCAAGCUGCUCACUCAUUGGAGGAAAAGGAAGUCAGGUUGCCGAGGAAGACCAGGUCCAUUCAUGAAGUGAUGGGGAGGUGACAUGGGCCAGCAGUUGAAAAACCGUAUAUGCUCAAUUUUUAAGAAGAAGGAUUUCAUUGACGUGGUACCCCUCGGAACCGAAGGUUGUAUCAAAUUGCUUUGCAGCCAAUGAAGCAUUUUUAAAAUUGCAGUUAAUAUUGAAAU